AAGCUAAGCAACUUCCGUAUCUAACAGGGGGCAACCCCCAACUACUUCAGGCGUUCUAGGGCUUAACUACUGUGUUCGGCAUGGGUACAGGUGUAUCUCCUAGGCUAUCGUCACUUAACU
rnacentral:rRNA from 1 species